UUAGUUCAGUGGUAGAACGCUGGUUUCCAAAACCAGAUGCCGAUGGUUCAAAUCCUUCAG
rnacentral:ncRNA from 14 species